UACGGAGGGUGCAAGCGUUAUUCGGAAUUAUUGGGCGUAAAGGGCACGCAGGCGGGACUGCCAGUCAGAUGUGAAAGCCCGGGGCUUAACCCCGGAAGAGCAUUUGAUACUGCAGUUCUUGAGUAUGGUAGAGGGUAGUGGAAUUCCUGGUGUAGAGGUGAAAUUCGUAGAUAUCAGGAGGAACACCGGUGGCGAAGGCGACUACCUGGACCAAUACUGACGCUGAGGUGCGAAGGCGUGGGGAGCAAACAGG
rnacentral:rRNA from 1 species